CGCAGCCGCCGCAGCAGCCGCAGCCCCAGCAGAAGCCCACCAGCUACAAGCAGCCGGAUGCCAACGACAACUGACGACACGCGCCCGCUAUCAACUCGCAGGCAUUAACGUGACUCGGCCGCGGCCCCACGCGCCUGUCUCUCCUUUCUUUCCACGCCACCCGCCCCGGUCCGUCUGUCUCUCUGUCGCUGUGUGUGUGGGGCCCGGUCGUCGCGAAGCGUUACUGUGAUUUAUGCCUUACUACCGAACGGCGCAGUCCUGGCACCUUGUGGACAGUUUUGUAAGUCGUGCUUCGCUCCCGGACCGCGCGGUGCCGUGUCGAUCGCUUCUAGUCCACGCGCGGUAGGAUAAGGUGUGAGCGCGUCGAACAGUUACUAUUUAUCAGUGGUUUUAUUGCGACUGGAGUAAUAUAUUAGCCGUGUUGUUUGCCUGCAAUAUGGCGCAAACGGUGCUGUGAGGGUACACGGCGACCACGCGGCGAAGAUACCGAGAGUGGGAGUGAGAGGAGAGGAGUCACGCGCUGGCCCGCCUGACCGGGCGGCGACCGGCCCGUGCCGCUCAGACCGAUGAGACACUGCUGCGACACGUGGUAUUAUGAUAAAUAUCGUAGUUAUACUUCUGUUGUUUAAGCCGGUACCCGGGAGAUUCCGCGCGCUGCGGGACGGCGGCCUCAGCAGGAAACUUUGUUUGCGAAAGCAGCCGCAAUGUGGCGUUAGUGUCUCACGGUGGUCGCUUGUCUGUCGAGUUUUCUAAGCAUUAUUUUCAAUGAGUGAAAAUGCUGUUCUAAAUGAAAAUAAAGUCUGUGUUAUUUA